AUGAUCAUCUUGGCCUGGAACUGCCGAGGAUUGGGGUUGGACUCGGCAGUUGGCGAACUUCGGGACCUGGUUAGGUCAUACAACCCAGCGGUGGUUUUUUUGUCUGAAACAAAGAAGAGAUCGGGAGCUAUGGAUAGACUAAAAUGGAGUUUGGGGUUCAAUAAGGGUGUUGCGGUGGAUUGUAAGGGCAAGAGUGGAGGACUAGCGCUGUGGUGGAGGGACUAUGUGGAA
rnacentral:rRNA from 1 species